rnacentral:misc_RNA from 1 species
GAUGAAGAACGGAGCGAAAUGCGAUACUUGGUGUGAAUUGCAGAAUCCCGUGAACCAUCGAGUCUUUGAACGCAAGUUGCGCCCGAAGCCUCGGCUAAGGGCACGUCUGCCUGGGCGUCACGCAUCGCGUCUCCCCCAAACCGCCAAGGCGGAGGGGAAGGAAGAUGGCUUCCCGUGCCUCACCCGGGCGCGGUUGGCCUAAAUUUGGAGCCCGCGGCACUUAGCUCUCGCGGCGAUAGGUGGUGAACAAGGCCUUGGCCGUGCAAACAACCCGCUGCGAAGCUCUAUGUCACGUGCGCUCGUCGGACCCUUUGAAGUUGCCUUUGGUGACUUAAAACCUUUGCGACCCCAGGUCAGGCGGGGCUACCCGCUGAAUUUAAGCAUAUCAAUAAGCGGAGGA